AGUUUACUUUGUAAAGUUUAAAGAAUCAUCUUGAUAGUUUGAUUCUUGUGUUACCAUGGCUACAAUAUGGUGUAAUCUUUGUGUUUGUUGUAAUCUCUGCUGGGUUUGUUCAUAAAAACCUCACAGCAAAUAAUAACCAAUAAUCAGUGAUUGAUUUUAUACUCGGCCAAUUAACCUGGGCUCCUUAUCAUAGACUUCACUAAAUCUAUAUUUAAACACGAUUAGAGAUGCUGAGGUUCUUAGUAGGAGGGGGCCGAGGGGCUAAAUCAUGAUUCUGUCUAGGGCCCCAUAUUAUCUGGCGAUCCCUGGUUCACCUUUAAGAUUUCAGUUUGGUGUAUAAAAGGCAUUAUUAAAAAAGAAACCAAAAUAUCACACCAGCAUUCUAUUCUUUGUGAAAAUUACUUUUACAGUCUGGUUUACAGUUUUAUAUUGUAGAUAUAAAUAUCAACAACAUUUGUAGUUUUGGCCGAUUAGUACCGUUAAUUUUAGGGUAAUUAACUGCUGGCAAUAUUACAAUAUUUUUCUAUGAAUUUUACAAUUACUUUUAUUUUUACAACAUAUUUCUGUGUUUUCUACAUUUCAUGACUGUCAAAAUCACUUGAAAUAUAUGUUUAUUGAGUUAAGGUAAUUCCAUGUAUUUUCUAUGGUAAUAAAAUAUUUUGGAUAUUAUGGUCAGUAACUGUUGGAAUUUUACCAUUUUUUACCAUAAAUUUACAGAGGUUUUUUUUAUAGUGUAUAACGCAGCAGGUCAUAAAUUUAUGCCGCCAAUUCAGGUUCAGCUGUGGAAUCAGAAUCACAUAAUUGAAAAAUACAAAGUUUGCACUGACAAGGAUUCAUUUGGUUUAUACAGAAGUUAUUUAUUCUGCUUUUGAAAUGUUUAAUAAUGUAAAUGACCUUACUAGUAUUUUGUGUUUCCUCAUGUAAAUAAGGAGUAUUUGUUGACAUGACAGUCUAUACUUUUAUUGUGAAAGGGCUUGGAACGGAAGGUGACAAACUAGACAAUUAACUGCUCGGUCAUAGCGGAGAGAGAGAGAGAGCGCGCACGGGUCGGAGCGAAAGAGAUAAUUACGGAGUAAUUGUAAUUUAGGUGUAGACAAUCAGUUAAUUGGCGCUUGGUUGAUGAGGGAACAAGCUCUUACGGUGUGUUCACACACAAAGGCUGUAAAAUAAAGGACUGUGAACCAUCA